GCUAGAUUUGGAAGCAUAAACUCAAAUUAGAAUAAUACAAAGAAAAUUAGCAUGGCCCCUGCACAAGGAUGACAUGCAAAUUCAUGUAGUGUUCCAUAUUUUU
ensembl:snRNA U6 U6 spliceosomal RNA